rnacentral:rRNA from 1 species
CCUACGGGAGGUAGCAGUGAGGAAUAUUGGUCAAUGGGCGCGAGCCUGAACCAGCCAAGUAGCGUGAAGGAUGACUGCCCUACGGGUUGUAAACUUCUUUUAUAAAGGAAUAAAGUGAGGCACGUGUGCCUUUUUGUAUGUACUUUAUGAAUAAGGAUCGGCUAACUCCGGGCCAGCAGCCGCGGUAAUACGGAGGAACCGAGCGUUUUCCGGAUUUAUUGGGUUUAAAGGGAGCGUAGAUGGGUUGUUAAGUCAGUUGUGAAAGUUUGCGGAUCAACCGUAAAAUUGCAAUUGAUACUGGCAGCCUUGAGUACAGUUGAGGUAGGCGGAAUUCGUGGUGUAGCGGUGAAAUGCUUAGAUAGCACGAAGAACUCCGAUUGCGAAGGCAGCUUACUAGACUGCCACUGACAUUGAUGCUCGAAAGUGUGGGUAUCGAACAGGAUUAGAUACCCGAGUAGUC